rnacentral:rRNA from 1 species
GACGAACGCUGGCGGCGUGCUUAACACAUGCAAGUCGAACGGAAAGGCCCUGCUUUUGUGGGGUGCUCGAGUGGCGAACGGGUGAGUAACACGUGAGUAACCUGCCCUUGACUUUGGGAUAACUUCAGGAAACUGGGGCUAAUACCGGAUAGGAGCUCCUGCUGCAUGGGGGUGGUUGGAAAGUUUCGGCGGUUGGGGAUGGACUCGCGGCUUAUCAGCUUGUUGGUGGGGUAGUGGCUUACCAAGGCUUUGACGGGUAGCCGGCCUGAGAGGGUGACCGGCCACAUUGGGACUGAGAUACGGACCAGACUCGUACGGGCGGCAGCAGUGGGGAAUAUUGCACAACGGGCGGAAGCCUGAUGCAGAAACGCCGCGUGCGGGAUAACGGCCUUCGGGUUGUAAACCGCUUUCGCCGGUGACGAAGCGUGAGUGACGGUAAUGGGUAAAGAAGCACCGGCUAACUACGUG